GACGAACGCUGGCGGCGUGCUUAACACAUGCAAGUCGAACGGAAAGGCCCUGCUUUUGUGGGGUGCUCGAGUGGCGAACGGGUGAGUAACACGUGAGUAACCUGCCCUUGUCUUUGGGAUAACUUCAGGAAACUGGGUCUAAUACCGGAUAGGAGCUCCUGCUGCAUGGGGGGGGUUGGUAAGUUUCGGCGGUUGGGGAUGGACUCGCGGCUUAUCAGCUUGUUGGUGGGGUAGUGGCUUACCAAGGCUUUGACGGGUAGCCGGCCUGGGAGGGUGGCCGGCCACAAUGGGACUGAGAUACGGCCCAGACUGCAAUGGGAGGCAGCAGUGGGAAAUAUUGCACAAUGGGCGGAAGCCUGAUGCAGCAACGCCGCGUGCGGGAUGACGGCCUUCGGGUUGUAAACCGCUUUCGCCUGUGACGAGGCGUGAGUGACGGUAAUGGGUAAGGAAGCACCGGCUAACUACGUG
rnacentral:rRNA from 1 species